rnacentral:rRNA from 1 species
CACGUAGGGGGCGAGCGUUGUCCGGAUUUAUUGGGCGUAAAGAGCUCGUAGGCGGUUCGGCAAGUCGGGUGUGAAAUUUCGAGGCUCAACCUCGAAACGCCAUUCGAUACUGCUGUGACUGGAGUCCGGUAGAGGAGUGCGGAAUUCCUGGUGUAGCGGUGAGAUGCGCAGAUAUCAGGAGGAACACCAACGGCGAAGGCAGCACUCUGGGCCGGUACUGACGCUGAGGAGCGAAAGCGUGGGGAGCAAACAGG